ACCCUUUAAGUCUAAAAAAUGACAAUAUUUUCAUUUUUAAAAAGCUUUUCAUUGUUGAUGUCCAAGUCGUCAUAUAGAUGUGCCGUCUUUUUUCUGAAAUAAUUUUUGUGUGGAAGUCAAAAUAAUACUUUGUUUGCAUCAGAUAUAAUUUCACGUCUGCUGCAAUUUACGUCAAGUGAUAAGCAUUUAAAUGCUUAAAUCCACUUUGACAACAUAAUAGAGCUGAAAUCUGCACUUGGAAAGAUUGUAAAAAUAUGUAUUUAUUUCUGUGCCAUUAACACUUUAUUUGGUUGAGUUUUACGUCGCACCAACCCAGAAAAGGUCAUGUCGACUUUCAGCUUAACUUGUUGUGCCCCUACGUACAUUAUUUCAUGCAUGAAUGAGCACCUGAGUAGAACUACCGACGUUCCGUAUGCUUGCUAGAUAGAUUCCUUACAUGAUAGAAUCCAAAGUCCUUGUCGGGAUUCGAACCAACUUUCUUCAACAGUUUAUACAUUGUUUAUCCUUUUUCAUCUUUAGUUGAAUCUCAUUUAAUGUUUAGUACAAUGUGAUACUGUUUUGUUACUGUACUGAUGUUAAUUGGCCGUUUAUUUACGUGUGAAUUGUUAGAGUCAUCUUGGAAGAAUUAUAAAUUACUAGUAAUUACAUGAUGUUAAAACAUGUGUGAUUAUGUUUUAGCUGUAAUCGCAGCGCCCACAUAACAGAUCUAUUUGUUCAUAUAUUAAUACAGACUUAACACUCGGCAGAAAGUGCCUGAUUACCAAUACAUAUCGUAUUUGUUUAGGUUUUUGUCAGUACAGAAAUAGGCGAUAUAUGGAAGGCGACACGUUAUUUGAUGGUUGUGAGAGAAAGUGUAUUUGCCAAAGCAGUGGCCAAUUUAUCUGCAAACAAAGAUGUCCUGUGCAUAGAAGCGUGCCCAGUGGGUGUGCGUUGUUGUCACCUAGAUCUGGACAAUGCUGUUCAACACUUAUAUGUAGACGAAUUCCAACCAGAAACAACCCACCAGCAUCUUAUUUUGACAUUUAAAUCCAUUGACAUUAUAUGAUAUGUAAAAUCUCCUGUGUUAUGUAAAUUAUUUAUUUAUAUGAUUCAUGUAUAAAUUGUACUUCUUACUUGAAUAAACAGUACAAACAUGUUUAGAUACA